GUGAGGAAUAUUGGACAAUGGGCGCAAGCCUGAUCCAGCCAUGCCGCGUGCAGGAAGACGCAUCUAUGGUGUGUAAACUGCUUUUGUACGGGAAGAAACACUCCCUCGUGAGGGAGCUUGACGGUACCGUAAGAAUAAGGAUCGGCUAACUCCGUGCCAGCAGCCGCGGUAAUACGGAGGAUCCAAGCGUUAUCCGGAAUCAUUGGGUUUAAAGGGUCCGUAGGCGGUUUAAUAAGUCAGUGGUGAAAGCCCAUCGCUCAACGAUGGAACGGCCAUUGAUACUGUUAGACUAGAAUUACAAGGAAGUAACUAGAAUAUGUAGUGUAGCGGUGAAAUGCUUAGAUAUUACAUGGAAUACCAAUUGCGAAGGCAGGUUACUACUUGUGGAUUGACGCUGAUGGACGAAAGCGUGGGGAGCGAACAGGAUUAGAUACCCCAGUAGUCC
rnacentral:rRNA from 1 species